rnacentral:rRNA from 1 species
AUUGAACGCUGGCGGCAGGCCUAACACAUGCAAGUCGAGCGGAUGAAGGGAGCUUGCUCCUGGAUUCAGCGGCGGACGGGUGAGUAAUGCCUAGGAAUCUGCCUGGUAGUGGGGGAUAACGUCCGGAAACGGGCGCUAAUACCGCAUACGUCCUGAGGGAGAAAGUGGGGGAUCUUCGGACCUCACGCUAUCAGAUGAGCCUAGGUCGGAUUAGCUAGUUGGUGGGGUAAAGGCCUACCAAGGCGACGAUCCGUAACUGGUCUGAGAGGAUGAUCAGUCACACUGGAACUGAGACACGGUCCAGACUCCUACGGGAGGCAACAGUGGGGAAUAUUGGACAAUGGGCGAAAGCCUGAUCCAGCCAUGCCGCGUGUGUGAAGAAGGUCUUCGGAUUGUAAAGCACUUUAAGUUGGGAGGAAGGGCAGUAAGUUAAUACCUUGCUGUUUUGACGUUACCAACAGAAUAAGCACCGGCUAACUUCGU